AACAAAAUUUUGAAGAAUCCGACCAAUGGAUGAAGAUGAAAAUGAUUCGAAUUUUGAUCUUGAAAAAUUUCAAGAAGCACAGGACCCUAAUAAGGAAUGACGAAAGCAGUGACGAUUCUGGCUCACUCAUUCACCUUUAGAAAAUUUUGGCAAAAGAUGCCUUUCCCUUUUUCACUUUUUGACAUUUUGGGAAAAAUUUUGUCUGAUGUCUCUUUUCCCUCUUAUUUAAGGUUGUAUUCUCUAAAGAGAAGGGCACGCUUGAAUUUGCUCGCCCCCUUCUUCCUCUCCCUCUAUAAAAUAUUUGUAAUCAUUUCUUUUGUUGUUUGAAGAUUUGAAAAAAUUCUUCAUAUAGCAAAGGAAUGGACUUGGACAGAGGCAGCACUCGGGUCAGAGAAAUAGGCUCGGUCAGAGGAAUGGGCUCGGUCAGAGGAAUCGUUGAUAUCAGAGGAAUGCUCCACCCGCGGGAUAGUAAACGGUAGAAAUGACCACUUCACCCGGGAAGCGCCAGAGAAGAAGAAUCACUCGUUCGCAGAGGAAUCCAAAGCUCCGCGAUACAUACGCUUCUCUGUCGCUGAGCAGAGGAACGAGCGAAGGAAGGCAAAAUUACCAUCGUACCCCUGACCACGCGGGGAACAUGACCCCCAAACUGAAAUUACCACUUUACCCCUAGAAUGUACUCUAUAAAUACCCAUGCACCCAUGUUAUGUAUUUUCACGUGCUUUCCUAUCAAUACAACAGCAAACUCAAUUUCUC